GAUGAAGAACGCAGCGAAAUGCGAUAAGUAGUGUGAAUUGCAGAAUUCAGUGAAUCAUCGAAUCUUUGAACGCACAUUGCGCCCCUUGGUAUUCCAUGGGGCAUGCCUGUUCGAGCGUCAUUUGUACCUUCAAGCUCUGCUUGGUGUUGGGUGUUUGUCUCGCCUCUGCGUGUAGACUCGCCUCAAAACAAUUGGCAGCCGGCGUAUUGAUUUCGGAGCGCAGUACAUCCCGCGCUUUGCACUCAUAACGACGACGUCCAAAAGUACAUUUUUACACUCUUGACCUCGGAUCAGGUAGGGAUACCCGCUGAACUUAAGCAUAUCAAUAAGCGGAGGA
rnacentral:misc_RNA from 1 species